rnacentral:rRNA from 1 species
GACGAACGCUGGCGGCGUGCUUAACACAUGCAAGUCGAACGGAAAGGCCCUGCUCUUGCGGCGCGCUCGAUUGGCGCACGGGUGAGUAACACGCGAGUAACCUGCACUUGUCGUUGGGAUAUCUUCAGGGAACGGGGGCUAUUAUCGGAUAGGAUCUUCUGCUGCAUGGGGGGGGUAGGAAAGUUUCGGCGGUGGGGGAUGGUCUAGCUGCUUAUCAGCUUGUUGGUGGGGUAGUGGCUUACCAAGUCUAUGACGGGAAGCCGGCCUGGGAGGGUGACCGGCCUCAUUGGUACUGAGAUAGGGACCAGACUCCUACGGGAGGCAGCGGUGGGGAACAUUACGCAAUGGGCCCAAGCCUGUUGCAACAACGCCGCGUUCGGGAUGACGGCCUUCUGGUUAUAAACCGCUUUCGCCUUUGACGAAGCGUUCGUGACGGUAAUGGGUAAAAAAGCACCGGCUAACUACGUG